GUCACUUCAUUCUUGUGAUUGUGUGCCUCUGACCUCAUGUGUUUCACCUGGGUUCAGUUAUUCCGUCUGUGUCAGGUCGUCUCUUCACUUUGGUUCUGUUCAGUCCAGCUCCUGUGUCUCUGUUUUGAGUUUCAGCUUUUGGAUCACCUGAGUUCUCUUACCAGCCUUCUGAGUUUCAUACUCAAACACGCCACAAAAAAGCUUGUAUGUAAAGACCCUGGACAUGGAAGCUCGAGCCUGCACUGGGCCUCCAACGUGCUACUCUAACCUCUGUAAGAGACUUCUUCCCCAAGAGGCUUCAGGAAAGUGUCAGAGGGCUUCUUCUGAGAUCAGUGAGCUGAGAGGCAAGGUGAUAAACAAACCCACAGGGGGCACUGUUUCCCCACCAACGAUAAAGCCCUUCACCUACCAACA